CUAGCAUCAAAUUUUUUAGGUAGUGUUUGGUUCGAGAACAAGCGGGGGAAUAAGCCCUUGUUCCCCCCUUUGUUCCCAAACGCAAUGUUUGGUUCCCGGGAACAGUAGUUUUUGGGAAUCUGGAACUAGCUGGUAUAAAGCUAGAACUGCUGUUCCACCCGUUUCUUGGAACAAGCUUGUUCCUUGAUGAGAACAAGAUUAAUUAAAAUCUAAAUUUAAUUUUAAUGGCAGUAAAUUAUUAAUUAAUCUAAUUAAUAUAUUUAAAUCAUUAUUUAUUACUUUAAUAAUUAAAUAAUUUAAAUAAUUUAUUAUUUAUAAUUAAAUAUUAAUAAUUAGAUAAUUAUUAUUAUUAAUUUAUUAUUUAUAAUUAAUUAUAAAUAAUUAAUAAUAUUCAUUAUUUUUUUAUUAAUAAUUAUUAUUCUUAAUGACAAUCGAUAUUAUUAUUAAUUUAUUAUUUAUAAUUAAUUAUUAAUAAUUAAUAAUUAUUAUUAUUUAUUAAUAAUUAUUAAUAAUUUUUAUUCUUAAUAAUUAGAUAAUCGAUAUUAUUAUUAAUUUAUUAUUUAUAAUUAAUUAUUUAUAAUUAAUAAUAAUUAUUAUUUAUUAAUAAUUAAUUAAUAAUUCUUAUUCUUAAUAAUUAGAUAAUGGAUAUUAUUAUUAAUUUAUUAUUUAUAAUUAAAUAAUAAUAAUUAUUAUUAUUUAUUAAUAAAUAUUAAUAUUAAUUAUUAUUAAUAAUUAGAUAAUCAAUAUUAUUAUUAAUUUAUUAUUUAUAAUUAAUUAAUAAGAAUAAUUUAUUAUUAUUAUUAUUAUUAUUAAUUAGAUAAUCCAUAUUAUUAAUUUAUUAUUUAUAAUUAAUUAUUAAUAAUAAUUAUUAUUUAUAAUUAAUUAUUAAUAAUUAAUUUCUUAUUUAUUUUUAAGUAAUAUUUUUAUUACUAUUAAUUACAUAAUAUAAUUUUAAUUUCAAAUUAUAACUCUUAUUUCUCUUGUUCCAAUCUAACCAUCCAAACACUAUUACCUUAUUCCUAGGAACAACCCAAUUUUCAUCCAAACACAAAAUUAGUCUAGUUCUUGCUUAUACCUGAACUUGUACCUAUCCCUACAACUAGCAGUUCUUACUUAUACCCGAACCAAACGCAGCCUUACUUUAUAGUUAGAGGAAUAACAUUUCUUGUAAAACCACUUUUCGUGAUCAAACAACAUUUGUGAACCACGAAACUCCCAAAUACGAAGUUAUAGGUUCAGAAACAAAAAAAAAAAAAAAACGAUUAAUUAAGUAGGCCUUUUUUAUUUUCAUCCUCAUAUGAAAAACUAAGAUACUUCGAAGAAGUUCCUAGAAAAACACGGUGCAGUCAAUUUGGGAUUGGAGUAUUUAGAAAAACGUGAUUCAAUCAAGUUGAGCUGAAAAUUUUGUUGAGAUCGGUAAAUUUUACAAUCGGCGGGAAAAAAUUUUAAAUGGCCAUAAUUUUUUACUCGAGUAUCAGAUUUUAAAGUGCAAUUCUAAUUUGAAACAUACUUUUUGAGAUCUACGCGUCAAAUGCGAAGCCAUUCCGGCUUUAUUUGGGACCCAAAUUUAAUUGUUUCGCCUCUGUUUUUGUUUUUU
rnacentral:lncRNA from 1 species